UCUGGAGGGCAAGGACCUCUCCAUCUCCCUGGAUAAUGGUAUGGUAAAGGUAGAUAACGCUAUGGUUAUCCGUCCUGAUGACGCCGUUACCAACGGAGUUAUCCACAUCAUCGACAGCGUCCUUCUUCCGCCACAGUACAGACCUCACUUCUGGCUCAAUAAUUGAACAUCACUCCAAUCAUAAAUACCAGCUACAUGUCAAUUUCAUGUGUAUAUUUAUCAUUGAUUUGUUAUUGUUGUAUUGAAUAAGAAAAAUAUAAAAAUAUUUCUUUUACAAA